AUAUUAUUCAUUGAAUAAUAUUUAUUUCUUAAAAAUAAACCUAUUACAUACAACUUUCUUAUUAAUUUUGUUCUUGUUUCUCACAACUGGAACUGCAGCAGGUGGAGAUGAGGGUUUCUGAAUUGGGCCAAGAAUGUGGUGGUGGUGCUGCUGCUGUCCUUGAAGAACCAGAGGCAGGAGGGGAGAAGACCAGGAUGCGUAGGGACUAAUUCACAUUUUAGAUAAAUGCAAAAAGCUUCAUCAGAAAAUAAGUGAGAAAAUUUUGAAGGGGGAAGCUGUGUACUGCAAGUAGAGAAGCAAUAAUCUUCCCAGUCCCAAGACCUUGUAAAAAGAAUUUUGGAUUAAAAAAACCUGGAAGACUGGUGUUAUCAGCAGCUUUGAAGACAUGAACUUAAAAGGGCAAAAGGAAGCAAAUUAAAAACUGUUUCUCAAGAUUGCGGCUGCUGAGGAAAGCUCACAUUGCAAAGAGAAAAAUGCCGCUGAGAUACCUUGAGCCAAUGGAGUGGAGCAUCAUGUGAGCUAAUAAACUGACCUUACAGUUUGUCUGAAAUCAGUGAAAUGAGUGAUGUCUUCAGUGAACAUGUUCUUGUGACUGCUGAAGAGGCGCAGCUCUGUUUUGGUGUAGCUGGAGUGUAGUUCACUGUUGAAAAGCUUGUGUUUAAGGCAGUCCAAUGGUAAGAUGCAGAGAAGGAGCUGGCAAGGUCAGGGUGAUAGAUAAGGGAUUAGGUAGAUCUUUUGCAUUCUUCUUGGAUGUCACUAUAGUAAACCUCUGCUUCGUGAGGCUAAAUCUAGAGCCUUGAACCAUCCAGAAAUCCUGGACCAGAUGUCAGACCUGUCACCAGAUGAUCAUCCUGUCCUGUGUGGCCUCUCUUCUGGGUGAAAGCAGGAGGGCUAGGAACCCUCUGAUCAAAGCGAAAGCUGAAAAAGUGCAAUUCUGUGGAAAGAAAUUAAUUCUGCCUCUACAGUGGUGGUAACCUCUGUGAGGUUUGCCCAGCAGAUGCCAGCAGUGAAUUAGCAGAGAGCUUGUGGAAAAAUAAAAGGAGCUGAAUAUGUAACUGUUGUGAAUGCUUCAUUGCUUAAAGAAUGGUUGCUUGAAAUAGAUUAAUUUUUUUUCAUUAAGGUUAAUUUUUACUGUGAAGAUUCUCAUUUUAUCCUCCGAAUCUCUGAGAAUAGUGUGUUAGACUGUCUUAAUACAAGUCAGAAACAUCCAGGUUUAAAUUUGGUCUACAGUUCAUAAUAAUGGCCUUCCACAAACAAUGGGGUUAAGUUACUUAUUUUAAAGAUGUUUUAUGUUUAGCCUUUUUGCAUCUUAUGUAUUUUUACCUGACCUGUUCUCUUCCUGUUUAUUACCCCCUUCAGAAUAAGAGAAUAACUCUUGUUUACUGUCCCUCUCAGUUUGAAUAAAAAAUUUGACCUGACAUUAAGCUGUUCCUUUUUGUACUGGAGGUAAAAAAAUAAUAAAUAAAAAAAUAAAAAUCCAAGUCAUAUGGUAUUAUCCUUCACUUUCAUUGAACCAUCUGGACUUCUGGAGCUAGAGCUGAAAACUGUCAACAUCUCUUGAUGCAAAACAAA